AUUGAACGCUGGCGGCAGGCCUAACACAUGCAAGUCGAACGAGUGGCGGACGGGUGAGUAAUGUCUGGGACACUGCCUUAUGGAGGGGGAUACCUACUGGAAACGGUAGCUAAUCCCGCCUUCCAUCGGAUGUGCCCCGAUGGGAUUAGCUAGUAGGUGGGGUAACGGCUCACCUAGGCGACGCUCCCUAGCUGGUCUGAGAGGAUGAACAGAGACAAUGGAACUGAGACACGGUCCAGAAUCCUACGGGAGGCAGCAGUGGGGAAUAUGGCACAAUGGGCGCAAGCCUGAUGCAGCCAUGCAGCGUGGAUGAAGAAGGCCUUCGGGUUGUAAAGUACUUUCAGCGGGGAGGCGUUACCAGCAGAAGAAGCACCGGCUAACUACGUGCCAGCAGCCGCGGUAAUUC
rnacentral:rRNA from 1 species